UGGGGAAUAUUGCACAAUGGGGGAAACCCUGAUGCAGCGACGCCGCGUGAACGAAGAAGGUAUUCGUAUCGUAAAGUUCUGUCCUAUGGGAAGAUAAUGACAGUACCAUAGAAGAAAGCUCCGGCUAAAUACGUGCCAGCAGCCGCGGUAAUACGUAUGGAGCGAGCGUUGUCCGGAAUUAUUGGGCGUAAAGGGUACGCAGGCGGUUUAAUAAGUCGAAUGUUAAAGAUCGGGGCUCAACCCCGCAAAGCAUUGGAAACUGAUAAACUUGAGUAGUGGAGAGGAAAGUGGAAUUCCUAGUGUAGUGGUGAAAUACGUAGAUAUUAGGAGGAAUACCAGUAGCGAAGGCGACGUUCUGGACACAAACUGACGCUGAGGUACGAAAGCGUGGGGAGCGAACAGG
rnacentral:rRNA from 1 species